CCUACGGGCGGCAGCAGUGAGGAAUAUUGGACAAUGGCCGGAAGGCUGAACCAGCCAUGCCGCGUGAAGGUCAAUGCCCUAUGGGCGUUAAACUUCUUUUGUUCGGGAUGAAUAAUGGUCACGGAUGGCCAGACGAGAGUACCGUACGAAUAAACAUCGCCUAACUCCGGGCCAGCAGCGGCGGUAAUACGGGGGAUGCAAGCGUUAUCCGGAGUUAUUGGGUUUAAAGGGUGCGUAGGGUGUGAGGUAAGUUAGAGGUGAAAUGCCCCAGCUCAACGGGGUGAAGUGCCAUUGAUACUGCCGUGCUGGAAUGAGGAUGCGGUGGGAGGAAUGUGUGGUGUAGCGGUGAAAUGCAUAGAUAUCACGCAGAACACCGAUUGCGAAGGCAUCUCACGAAUCCGCGAUUGACGCUGAUGCACGAAAGCGUGGGUAUCAAACAGGAUUAGAUACCCGAGUAGUC
rnacentral:rRNA from 1 species